GAUUGCAGGCUGCAACUCGCCUGCAUGAAGUCGGAAUUGCUAGUAAUCGCGGAUCAGCAUGCCGCGGUGAAUACGUUCCCGGGCCUUGUACACACCGCCCGUCACACCAUGAGAGUCGGGAACACCCGAAGUCCGUAGCCUAACUUUAACGAGGGGCGCGGCCGAAGGUGGGUUCGAUAAUUGGGGUGAAGUCGUAACAAGGUAAC
rnacentral:rRNA from 1 species